rnacentral:rRNA from 1 species
AGAGUUUGAUUAUGGCUCAGAUUGAACGCUGGCGGUAUGCUUAACACAUGCAAGUCGAACGAGAAAGUUCCUUCGGGAGCGAGUAAAGUGGCGGACGGGUGAGUAACGCGUAGGAAUCUGCCCUAAAGUGGGGGACAACUCGAGGAAACUCGAGCUAAUACCGCAUAAGUUACGCUUUUAGCGUAAUAAAGUAGGGGAUCAUGCUUCGGUGUGACCUUAUGCUUUAGGAUGAGCCUGCGUCAGAUUAGCUUGUUGGUGGGGUAAUGGCCUACCAAGGCAACGAUCUGUAGCUGGUCUGAGAGGAUGAUCAGCCACAUUGGGACUGAGACACGGCCCAAACUCCUACGGGAGGCAGCAGUGGGGAAUAUUGGACAAUGGGCGCAAGCCUGAUCCAGCAAUACCGCGUGUGUGAAGAAGGCCUGCGGGUUGUAAAGCACUUUCAGUAGGGAGAAAAUGCUUAAGGUUAAUAACCUUGAGAGUUGAUGUUACCUACAGAAGAAGCACCGGCUAACUCUGUGCCAGCAGCCGCGGUAAUACAGAGGGUGCAAGCGUUAAUCGGAGUUACUGGGCGUAAAGCGUGCGUAGGCGGAUAUUCAAGUCGGGUGUGAAAGCCCCGGGCUCAACCUGGGAACUGCAUUCGAUACUGAAUGUCUGGAGUAUGGUAGAGGAAAGUGGAAUUUCCGGUGUAGCGGUGAAAUGCGUAGAUAUCGGAAAGAACACCAGUGGCGAAGGCGACUUUCUGGACCAAUACUGACGCUGAGGUACGAAAGCGUGGGGAGCAAACAGGAUUAGAGACCCUGGUAGUCCACGCCGUAAACGAUGAGAACUAGAUGUUAGGUCUGUUUUGC